rnacentral:lncRNA from 1 species
CAUUUGAAAGCACUUUACAAAUAACAGUGAUCUUUCACUGAUGCACGGUAUGCCAAGAACAAGAUCAGCUCAGGAAGAUGGACAAAGAACCACUGCUGCUCUCCUGCUCAGCACAUGCAAUAGGGAUGAAACAAGAACGACCCCUUCAAUGACUGCUUUUCUUCGUGUACCUUACAGCUUUCUCCAGCUUAUGAUGGGAUCUCUGGUUGCAGUGCUGUGUGUCAGCCAGGGUUAUCCUGAGGGGCUGUUUGCCACCCACGUGCACUUCCUGUGGAAGCAGCAGUCAGUCGAGGUGAAGGAGCAGAAGGUUGCAGUGCUGGGGCAGCAGCUCCAAAGCAAAGCGACGGACUCCUGGAGAGAAAUCAGCUCUUCCAGAACCUGAUUCUUCUUGUCCUUCUGCAGAUGUCUCAAAAUCAGGUAAAAAAAUGAGCCUUCUUCUCUCUGGCUACAGAGGGAGCCCAGCUGGCUAUCUGAGACAAGAGAGGUGGUAAGCACUGAAGUGAGGUGAAAUUAAUCCCUUUGCAUCUUUAGAAGUGAGG